rnacentral:rRNA from 1 species
GUGUGACUGCGUACCUUUUGUAUAAUGGGUCAGCGACUUAUAUUCUGUAGCAAGGUUAACCGAAUAGGGGAGCCGAAGGGAAACCGAGUCUUAACUGGGCGUUAAGUUGCAGGGUAUAGACCCGAAACCCGGUGAUCUAGCCAUGGGCAGGUUGAAGGUUGGGUAACACUAACUGGAGGACCGAACCGACUAAUGUUGAAAAAUUAGCGGAUGACUUGUGGCUGGGGGUGAAAGGCCAAUCAAACCGGGAGAUAGCUGGUUCUCCCCGAAAGCUAUUUAGGUAGCGCCUCGUGAAUUCAUCUCCGGGGGUAGAGCACUGUUUCGGCAAGGGGGUCAUCCCGACUUACCAACCCGAUGCAAACUGCGAAUACCGGAGAAUGUUAUCACGGGAGACACACGGCGGGUGCUAACGUCCGUCGUGAAGAGGGAAACAACCCAGACCGCCAGCUAAGGUCCCAAAGUCAUGGUUAAGUGGGAAACGAUGUGGGAAGGCCCAGACAGCCAGGAUGUUGGCUUAGAAGCAGCCAUCAUUUAAAGAAAGCGUAAUAGCUCACUGGUCGAGUCGGCCUGCGCGGAAGAUGUAACGGGGCUAAACCAUGCACCGAAGCUGCGGCAGCGACGCUUAUGCGUUGUUGGGUAGGGGAGCGUUCUGUAAGCCUGCGAAGGUGUGCUGUGAGGCAUGCUGGAGGUAUCAGAAGUGCGAAUGCUGACAUAAGUAACGAUAAAGCGGGUGAAAAGCCCGCUCGCCGGAAGACCAAGGGUUCCUGUCCAACGUUAAUCGGGGCAGGGUGAGUCGACCCCUAAGGCGAGGCCGAAAGGCGUAGUCGAUGGGAAACAGGUUAAUAUUCCUGUACUUGGUGUUACUGCGAAGGGGGGACGGAGAAGGCUAUGUUGGCCGGGCGACGGUUGUCCCGGUUUAAGCGUGUAGGCUGGUUUUCCAGGCAAAUCCGGAAAAUCAAGGCUGAGGCGUGAUGACGAGGCACUACGGUGCUGAAGCAACAAAUGCCCUGCUUCCAGGAAAAGCCUCUAAGCAUCAGGUAACAUCAAAUCGUACCCCAAACCGACACAGGUGGUCAGGUAGAGAAUACCAAGGCGCUUGAGAGAACUCGGGUGAAGGAACUAGGCAAAAUGGUGCCGUAACUUCGGGAGAAGGCACGCUGAUAUGUAGGUGAAGUCCCUCGCGGAUGGAGCUGAAAUCAGUCGAAGAUACCAGCUGGCUGCAACUGUUUAUUAAAAACACAGCACUGUGCAAACACGAAAGUGGACGUAUACGGUGUGACGCCUGCCCGGUGCCGGAAGGUUAAUUGAUGGGGUCAGCGCAAGCGAAGCUCUUGAUCGAAGCCCCGGUAAACGGCGGCCGUAACUAUAACGGUCCUAAGGUAGCGAAAUUCCUUGUCGGGUAAGUUCCGACCUGCACGAAUGGCGUAAUGAUGGCCAGGCUGUCUCCACCCGAGACUCAGUGAAAUUGAACUCGCUGUGAAGAUGCAGUGUACCCGCGGCAAGACGGAAAGACCCCGUGAACCUUUACUAUAGCUUGACACUGAACAUUGAGCCUUGAUGUGUAGGAUAGGUGGGAGGCUUUGAAGUGUGGACGCCAGUCUGCAUGGAGCCGACCUUGAAAUACCACCCUUUAAUGUUUGAUGUUCUAACGUUGACCCGUGAUCCGGGUUGCGGACAGUGUCUGGUGGGUAGUUUGACUGGGGCGGUCUCCUCCUAAAGAGUAACGGAGGAGCACGAAGGUUGGCUAAUCCUGGUCGGACAUCAGGAGGUUAGUGCAAUGGCAUAAGCCAGCUUGACUGCGAGCGUGACGGCGCGAGCAGGUGCGAAAGCAGGUCAUAGUGAUCCGGUGGUUCUGAAUGGAAGGGCCAUCGCUCAACGGAUAAAAGGUACUCCGGGGAUAACAGGCUGAUACCGCCCAAGAGUUCAUAUCGACGGCGGUGUUUGGCACCUCGAUGUCGGCUCAUCACAUCCUGGGGCUGAAGUAGGUCCCAAGGGUAUGGCUGUUCGCCAUUUAAAGUGGUACGCGAGCUGGGUUUAGAACGUCGUGAGACAGUUCGGUCCCUAUCUGCCGUGGGCGCUGGAGAACUGAGGGGGGCUGCUCCUAGUACGAGAGGACCGGAGUGGACGCAUCACUGGUGUUCGGGUUGUCAUGCCAAUGGCACUGCCCGGUAGCUAAAUGCGGAAGAGAUAAGUGCUGAAAGCAUCUAAGCACGAAACUUGCCCCGAGAUGAGUUCUCCCUGACUCCUUGA